UACGUAGGGUGCGAGCGUUGUCCGGAAUUACUGGGCGUAAAGAGCUCGUAGGCGGCUUGUCGCGUCGUCCGUGAAAACUCACAGCUCAACUGUGAGCUUGCGGUCGAUACGGGCAGGCUAGAGUUCGGUAGGGGAGACUGGAAUUCCUGGUGUAGCGGUGAAAUGCGCAGAUAUCAGGAGGAACACCGGUGGCGAAGGCGGGUCUCUGGGCCGAUACUGACGCUGAGGAGCGAAAGCGUGGGGAGCGAACAGG
rnacentral:rRNA from 1 species